GGGACACGUGGUAUCCUGUCUGAAUAUGGGGGGACCAUCCUCCAAGGCUAAAUACUCCUGACUGACCGAUAGUGAACCAGUACCGUGAGGGAAAGGCGAAAAGAACCCCGGCGAGGGGAGUGAAAAAGAACCUGAAACCGUGUACGUACAAGCAGUGGGAGCCUCUUUAUGGGGUGACUGCGUACCUUUUGUAUAAUGGGUCAGCGACUUAUAUUCUGUAGCAAGGUUAACCGAAUAGGGGAGCCGAAGGGAAACCGAGUCUUAACUGGGCGUUAAGUUGCAGGGUAUAGACCCGAAACCCGGUGAUCUAGCCAUGGGCAGGUUGAAGGUUGGGUAACACUAACUGGAGGACCGAACCGACUAAUGUUGAAAAAUUAGCGGAUGACUUGUGGCUGGGGGUGAAAGGCCAAUCAAACCGGGAGAUAGCUGGUUCUCCCCGAAAGCUAUUUAGGUAGCGCCUCGUGAAUUCAUCUCC
rnacentral:rRNA from 1 species